rnacentral:lncRNA from 1 species
AGACUUCAGGUCCUAAGUGACCCAGAUCAUGUUCUAUCAUCUUCUAAAGAAUUCUGAAAAAGGAAGAAGUAAAUAGAAAUCUUUUGGGUUGUCACAUGAAGAGAGUAAAGCUCUCUUACAUUCUCCAUUCUGUAGACCAUGUUUUCACGAGUCUUUUUGAGAAAUGGUGAGACCACAUUGUCCCAGCAAAGAAGCAGAGCUGAUGUCUGGAAAUACUACACCAGGCAAACACGCUCCAGGAGAGUGUGGAGACUUCAGUUCUCUGGAACUUGUCCAUAUUUGGCAUGGUCAUUCUUUGAACUUCAGACAUCUUACAAGGUGCCAUGGAAUCUUGUCAUUUUCAUUGAUGUCCUUCUGAUGAUUAAUGCUAUCAAGAAUUUUUGUGUCCCUAUUUGUCAC